rnacentral:rRNA from 1 species
UACGUAGGGUGCAAGCGUUAAUCGGAAUUACUGGGCGUAAAGCGUGCGCAGGCGGUUUUGUAAGUCUGUCGUGAAAGCCCCGGGCUCAACCUGGGAAUUGCGAUGGAGACUGCAAGGCUUGAAUCUGGCAGAGGGGGGUAGAAUUCCACGUGUAGCAGUGAAAUGCGUAGAGAUGUGGAGGAACACCGAUGGCGAAGGCAGCCCCCUGGGUCAAGAUUGACGCUCAUGCACGAAAGCGUGGGGAGCGAUCCGG